rnacentral:rRNA from 1 species
CCUACGGGAGGCAGCAGUAGGGAAUAUUGCACCAUGGGCGAAAGCCUGAUGCAGCAACGCCGCGUGAGUGAUGAAGGCCUUCGGGUCGUAAAACUCUUUUCAAGGGGAAGAGGAAGGACGGUACCCUUGGAAUAAGCAUCGGCUAACUACGUGCCAGCAGCCGCGGUAACACGUAGGAUGCAAGCGUUAUUCGGAUUUACUGGGCGUAAAGCGCGUGUAGGCGGUUAGGAGAGUUGGAUGUGAAAGCUCCCGGCUUAACUGGGAGAGGUCGUUCAAAACUUCCUGACUAGAGUUUGGUAGAGGAAAAUGGAAUUCCGGGUGUAGUGGUGAAAUGCGUAGAUAUCCGGAGGAACACCAGUGGCGAAAGCGAUUUUCUGGACCGAUACUGACGCACAGACGCGAAAGCUAGGGUAGCAAACGGGAUUAGAGACCCCGGUAGUCCUAGCUGUAAACGAUGUAGACUUGGCGUUGGGAGAGUAAAAUCAUCCAGUGCCGAAGCAAACGCGAUAAGUCUACCGCCUGGGGAGUACGGCCGCAAGGUUAAAACUCAAAGGAAUUGACGGGGCCCCGCACAAGCAGCGGAGCGUGUGGUUUAAUUCGAUGCUACACGAAGAACCUUACCAGGGUUUGACAUAUAAGUGGUAGGGAAGGGAAACCGGACCGACCCUUCGGGGAGCUAUGAGAAGGGCGAAUUCCACACCCUUGGCCGG